AACUUUCAGCAACGGAUCUCUUGGCUCUCGCAUCGAUGAAGAACGCAGCGAAAUGCGAUAAGUAAUGUGAAUUGCAGAAUUCAGUGAAUCAUCGAAUCUUUGAACGCACCUUGCGCUCCUUGGUAUUCCGAGGAGCACACCUGUUUGAGUGUCA
rnacentral:rRNA from 1 species